rnacentral:rRNA from 1 species
AGAGUUUGAUCCUGGCUCAGGACGAACGCUGGCGGCGUGCCUAAUACAUGCAAGUAGAACGCUGAAGACUUUAGCUUGCUAAAGUUGGAAGAGUUGCGAACGGGUGAGUAACGCGUAGGUAACCUGCCUACUAGCGGGGGAUAACUAUUGGAAACGAUAGCUAAUACCGCAUAACAGCAUUUAACACAUGUUAGAUGCUUGAAAGGAGCAAUUGCUUCACUAGUAGAUGGACCUGCGUUGUAUUAGCUAGUUGGUGAGGUAACGGCUCACCAAGGCGACGAUACAUAGCCGACCUGAGAGGGUGAUCGGCCACACUGGGACUGAGACACGGCCCAGACUCCUACGGGAGGCAG